ACGAUAACGGCGUCGAGCGGCGGACGGGUGAGUAAUGCCUGGGAAAUUGCCCUGAUGUGGGGGAUAACUAUUGGAAACGAUAGCUAAUACCGCAUAACGUCUACGGACCAAAGAGGGGGACCUUCGGGCCUCUCGCUUCAGGAUAUGCCCAGGUGGGAUUAGCUAGUUGGUGAGGUAAUGGCUCACCAAGGCGACGAUCCCUAGCUGGUCUGAGAGGAUGAUCAGCCACACUGGAACUGAGACACGGUCCAGACUCCUACGGGAGGCAGCAGUGGGGAAUAUUGCACAAUGGGCGCAAGCCUGAUGCAGCCAUGCCGCGUGUAUGAAGAAGGCCUUCGGGUUGUAAAGUACUUUCAGUUGUGAGGAAGGAUGAGUAGUUAAUAACUGCUUGUUUUGACGUUAGCAACAGAAGAAGCACCGGCUAACUCCGUGCCAGCAGCCGCGGUAAUACGGAGGGUGCGAGCGUUAAUCGGAAUUACUGGGCGUAAAGCGCAUGCAGGUGGUUUGUUAAGUCAGAUGUGAAAGCCCGGGGCUCAACCUCGGAAUAGCAUCUGAAACUGGCAGGCUAGAGUACUGUAGAGGGGGGUAGAAUUUCNGGUGUAGCGGUGAAAUGCGUANAGAUCUGAAGGAAUACCAGUGGCGAAGGCGGNCCCCU
rnacentral:rRNA from 1 species